GUGUCUAUAGCAUAAAUGGUAGUGCAAUCGAUUUCGGCUCGAUUAGUAGGGGUUCAAUUCCCUUUAGACAUU
rnacentral:tRNA from 1 species